ACUCCUACGGGAGGCAGCAGUGGGGAAUAUUGCACAAUGGGCGCAAGCCUGAUGCAGCCAUGCCGCGUGUAUGAAGAAGGCCUUCGGGUUGUAAAGUACUUUCAGCAGUGAGGAAGGCGGGUGACGUUAAAUAGCGUGCUCCGUUUGAUCGUAUGCUGCAGAAAGAAGCACCGGCUAACUCCGUGCCAGCAGCCGCGGUAAUACGGAGGGUGCGAGCGUUAAUCGGAAUUACUGGGCGUAAAGCGCAUGCAGGUGGUUUGUUAAGUCAGAUGUGAAAGCCCGGGGCUCAACCUCGGAA
rnacentral:rRNA from 1 species